GCCCGCUUAGCUCAGUGGUAGAGCGCGAGGCUUUUACACGAGUCCCAGAAUCAAUCGGGAAUGCAGCACGCAACCUCGUGGCCGUGGGUUCGAUCCCCACAGCGGGCG
rnacentral:tRNA from 1 species